rnacentral:snRNA from 1 species
AGCCAUGUGGUGAGCACAAAGCGAACUAUUCUUUCGCCUUUUACUAAAGAAUACCGUGUGCUCUCCACGCUAAGUGGUAUACGCCUAUUUUUGGAGGGUUCCCACUACAGUGGGUC